GAACGCAGAAAUUUGUAAACAUUUUUUACAAUUAAACGUUAAGGAGCUUUUGGAUUAACGCGAAAAUUUGCAAUUGGAUUUUAAGCAUUUGUCGUGUUCGGAGUGCGCGUCCUGAAUUUCAACCUGCUUAACCAAAACAACAAA